rnacentral:lncRNA from 1 species
UAGAGAUGCUUUUUAACAUAUUUGUUUUUGAAGCUUGAAUGGCUAUUACAAUCCAGCAGUCAAGUGCAACUUGCAACUUGUCUUUUUUCAUAUUUUUUUUUUAUUGAUAACAGGAAGGAACCCAACCCCUGUGUCCAGGCAUCAGGAACAACCUUAUCGAGGACAAAGUGGAUAUUUUGAAACUGGACCUCCACCAAGGAGAGGUCAAGGCAGGCGCCGAAACCAGGGGAGAGGCUGGGAGAUGGCUGAAUUUGUUGCGUCUAGCACCCUGAAGUUUGAUACCGACUUUGAUUUUGAUUCCGCAAAUGCACAAUUCAUUAAGAUGAUGCUGGAACGUGAGAUGCAGGACUGGUUGAAUAGAAAAGGUUGGUGGCAAUGUCAAGUAGAAAAUGCCUGCGCCGGAGCAGAUUUAUUUUGAAAAUAAUCAUAGGAGUAUGGAAUUAAGUCUUAAAGCAGUUACCCAGUUCCAGGGUUGUUUCCCUGAUACGUUUCUAUAACUAAUUCAGAGGGGAAGGAAAAGGCUGAGCAGGAUUCCCCAACCGAUAAAAAUCUGGAGGAUCCUAUUGGCCCAAAGUGCUACUAUGACAAGGGAAAGUCUUUCUAUGACAAGCUGUCAUCAGAUAAUGACCUCAGGUAACCAUAAUAGUCCACUCAUUUCAGAUCAUCCAACAUAUUAUGGGCCUGGCUUUCCUUUUUAGGGCUACUGUGUCUUGCCCUCCUGUUUGUAUUAUAUCAAUCUGAAAUGAUUCAGGCAGUCCUGGGCAGAGGAGCGCAGGAGGAACAUCGAGACAUUUGGAGUUCCACGUCUGUUCCCCCGGGGACGAGGAUUCCGAGGUGGAUACCGUGGGCCAAGGGAACCGAUGUUUCAAUAUCGCCGAGGCGGGAACAAAUUGCUAUAAGAUUCAGUAUGUAAUGCUUUAUCACAGCUUCUCCCAGCACAUCUGAUACGGCUUGCUCCUUAAUCGUGCCCCAUAUUGUGGUUUGUUCUUCCCCAUUUGUGGCCAACGCUAUUUGAUCUGUCCUCAGGUGUCAAUCCGGCAACGUGUGAAGUCUCUAGCUGGUCCAGUGAAUCACUUGAUAACAUUAAAGGAUGAUAAGCAUGUUUACCUUGUCAGCAUUUAUGAUCAAAUCAUUCUUUGUAAAUAUUGCUAUCUAUAAAAUCAUAUACUUAUUCAAAUAUUUGCCCUAUAUUGUUCUCUAAGAUUCCUACAUUUAAACAUGAAUCAAUGCAUGAAAUUAAACUAUAACCUACGCCUAUGUUUUUCUGGGUAAGUAUUAUACAUAAACUGAAUCAAGAACCCUUCACCCUUAAAAAUGGUGUCUUUUAUUGUUGGGGCCAUAAAGUAAGCUGAGGAGGGG